GCGGCAGGCUUAACACAUGCAAGUCGAGCGCCUCGCAAGAGGAGCGGCAGACGGGUGAGUAACGCGUGGGAAUCUACCCAUCUCUACGGAACAACUCCGGGAAACUGGAGCUAAUACCGUAUACGUCCUUCGGGAGAAAGAUUUAUCGGAGAUGGAUGAGCCCGCGUUGGAUUAGCUAGUUGGUGGGGUAAUGGCCUACCAAGGCGACGAUCCAUAGCUGGUCUGAGAGGAUGAUCAGCCACAUUGGGACUGAUACACGGCCCAAGC
rnacentral:rRNA from 1 species